GGAGGUGGCUCGGGCCGCGCCGAGGGGACCACGGGACGCCCUCCUUCCCUUCUCAGGAAACUGUGAGUGCCCCCCGCCCACAAGCCCGUCGCCAGGAUGCCGCCAACUAGAGCAAAGUGAAACCCCCAACAUUCUCGGGAAAGUGCGGGUCCCUCCCUCUCUACAGCCCCUUAAAUGCACGCCCCAGGGCGGCCCCUACCUGGAGCCAAGAGAAACCGCUGCCCUUCUUGGAGAGGUGUGGGCCUCUCCGCGCCCGCCCUUGCUGUCCCCUCUCUGUUCCUAACAGGCACCCCCCCCAGGCAGCCCCAACGGGGAGGAAAUGAAACUCUUCCUGCUCCUCUGCUCGGAAAACUAUGGGGCCCCCUUCCAGCUGCUCACGGGGCGCUCAGGGCGAUCCCCAAGGGGUGCAAAGUGCAAUCCCCUCCCUGCUUAGAAAGGCGUAGGCCUUGACAGGCAGCCACGGCCCCUGGUCCUUUCUGGAGCGUCCGAGCUGGGGGCGCUCAGUGGUGAAAGAUGGCGGGGGUGGGGGGCUUUGAGACACACUGCGGAUACCCGCUCUGCGCGGGACCAAGGACGUUCUGCCGCAAGCUCAGAGACAGGGUUGGGAGUGAGGACUUGUGGUCGUGGUUUGGGGUUGGGGGUAAGACCCCUAUCUGGGUCGCCUGGCUGAGUCCUGGUCCUUGGCGACUCACCCCAGCAGGCUGCGUCAGGGGCCCUUCGGUAACACUGGUCUUGUGCUGUCU
rnacentral:lncRNA from 1 species